CCUUGAAAUACCACCCUUUAAUGUUUGAUGUUCUAACGUUGGCCCGUAAUCCGGGUUGCGGACAGUGUCUGGUGGGUAGUUUGACUGGGGCGGUCUCCUCCUAAAGAGUAACGGAGGAGCACGAAGGUUGGCUAAUCCUGGUCGGACAUCAGGAGGUUAGUGCAAUGGCAUAAGCCAGCUUGACUGCGAGCGUGACGGCGCGAGCAGGUGCGAAAGCAGGUCAUAGUGAUCCGGUGGUUCUGAAUGGAAGGGCCAUCGCUCAACGGAUAAAAGGUACUCCGGGGAUAACAGGCUGAUACCGCCCAAGAGUUCAUAUCGACGGCGGUGUUUGGCACCUCGAUGUCGGCUCAUCACAUCCUGGGGCUGAAGUAGGUCCCAAGGGUAUGGCUGUUCGCCAUUUAAAGUGGUACGCGAGCUGGGUUUAGAACGUCGUGAGACAGUUCGGUCCCUAUCUGCCGUGGGCGCUGGAGAACUGAGGGGGGCUGCUCCUAGUACGAGAGGACCGGAGUGGACGCAUCACUGGUGUUCGGGUUGUCAUGCCAAUGGCACUGCCCGGUAGCUAAAUGCGGAAGAGAUAAGUGCUGAAAGCAUCUAAGCACGAAACUUGCCCCGAGAUGAGUUCUCCCUGACUCCUUGAGGGUCCUGAAGGAACGUUGAAGACGACGACGUUGAUAGGCCGGGUGUGUAAGCGCAGCGAUGCGUUGAGCUAACCGGUACUAAUGAACCGUGAGGCUUAACCUUACAACGCCGAAG
rnacentral:rRNA from 1 species